rnacentral:rRNA from 1 species
UACGGAGGGUGCAAGCGUUGUCCGGAUUUAUUGGGUUUAAAGGGUGCGUAGGCGGCCUUUUUAAGUCAGUGGUGAAAGCCCAUAGCUCAACUAUGGAACUGCCAUUGAUACUGAAAGGCUUGAGUACAGACGAGGUUGGCGGAAUGGAUGGUGUAGCGGUGAAAUGCAUAGAUACCAUCCAGAACUCCGAUUGCGUAGGCAGCUAACUAGGCUGUAACUGACGCUGAGGCACGAAAGCGUGGGGAGCAAACAGG